CAAGUCGAACGCCAGCGAAAGGUGCUUGCACCUUUCAAGUGAGUGGCGAACGGGUGAGUAACACGUGGACAACCUGCCUCAAGGCUGGGGAUAACAUUUGGAAACAGAUGCUAAUACCGAAUGAAACUUAGUGUCGCAUGACACGAAGUUAAAAGGCGCUUUGGCGUCACCUAGAGAUGGAUCCGCGGUGCAUUAGUUAGUUGGUGGGGUAAAGGCCUACCAAGACAAUGAUGCAUAGCCGAGUUGAGAGACUGAUCGGCCACAUUGGGACUGAGACACGGCCCAAACUCCUACGGGAGGCUGCAGUAGGGAAUCUUCCACAAUGGGCGAAAGCCUGAUGGAGCAACGCCGCGUGUGUGAUGAAGGCUUUCGGGUCGUAAAGCACUGUUGUAUGGGAAGAACAGCUAGAAUAGGGAAUGAUUUUAGUUUGACGGUACCAUACCAGAAAGGGACGGCUAAAUACGUGCCAGCAGCCGCGGUAAUACGUAUGUCCCGAGCGUUAUCCGGAUUUAUUGGGCGUAAAGCGAGCGCAGACGGUUGAUUAAGUCUGAUGUGAAAGCCCGGAGCUCAACUCCGGAAUGGCAUUGGAAACUGGUUAACUUGAGUGCAGUAGAGGUAAGUGGAACUCCAUGUGUAGCGGUGGAAUGCGUAGAUAUAUGGAAGAACACCAGUGGCGAAGGCGGCUUACUGGACUGUAACUGACGUUGAGGCUCGAAAGUGUGGGUAGCAAACAGGAUUAGAUACCCUGGUAGUCCACACCGUAAACGAUGAACACUAGGUGUUAGGAGGUUUCCGCCUCUUAGUGCCGAAGCUAACGCAUUAAGUGUUCCGCCUGGGGAGUAC
rnacentral:rRNA from 1 species